UUUAAUUGAAGAGUUUGAUCAUGGCUCAGAUUGAACGCUGGCGGCAGGCCUAACACAUGCAAGUCGAGCGGUAACAGAUUGA
rnacentral:rRNA from 1 species